CCUUCGAUAGCUCAGUUGGUAGAGCGGAGGACUGUAGGUACUUAAACUAGUCAUCCUCAGGUCGCUGGUUCGAUUCCGCCCGAGCGAAGGA
rnacentral:tRNA from 1 species